AUUGAACGCUGGCGGCAUGCCUUACACAUGCAAGUCGAACGGCAGCAUGAUCUAGCUUGCUAGAUUGAUGGCGAGUGGCGAACGGGUGAGUAAUACAUCGGAACGUGCCCUGUAGUGGGGGAUAACUAGUCGAAAGAUUAGCUAAUACCGCAUACGACCUGAGGGUGAAAGUGGGGGACCGCAAGGCCUCAUGCUAUAGGAGCGGCCGAUGUCUGAUUAGCUAGUUGGUGAGGUAAAGGCUCACCAAGGCAACGAUCAGUAGCUGGUCUGAGAGGACGAUCAGCCACACUGGGACUGAGACACGGCCCAGACUCUUACGGGAGGCAGCAGUGGGGAAUUUUGGACAAUGGGGGCAACCCUGAUCCAGCAAUGCCGCGUGAGUGAAGAAGGCCUUCGGGUUGUAAAGCUCUUUUGUCAGGGAAGAAACAGCAGCUCUAACACAGUUUGCGAAUGACGGUACCUGAAGAAUAAGCACCGGCUAACUACGUGCCAGCAGCCGCCGUAAAAC
rnacentral:rRNA from 1 species